AUUGAACGCUGGCGGCAUGCCUUACACAUGCAAGUCGAACGGCAGCACGGGUGCUUGCACCUGGUGGCGAGUGGCGAACGGGUGAGUAAUAUAUCGGAACGUACCUUAUCGUGGGGGAUAACGCAGCGAAAGCUGUGCUAAUACCGCAUACGCCCUGAGGGGGAAAGCGGGGGAUCGAGAGACCUCGCGCGAUUAGAGCGGCCGAUGCCUGAUUAGCUUGUUGGUGGGGUAAAAGCCCACCAAGGCGACGAUCAGUAGCUGGUCUGAGAGGACGAUCAGACACACUGGGACUGAGACACGGCCCAGACUCCUACGGGAGGCAGCAGUGGGGAAUUUUGGACAAUGGGGGCAACCCUGAUCCAGCAAUGCCGCGUGAGUGAAGAAGGCCUUCGGGUUGUAAAGCUCUUUUGUCAGGGAAGAAACACCGGCUCUAACACAGUCCGGGAAUGACGGUACCUGAAGAAUAAGCACCGGCUAACUACGUGCCAGCAGCCGCCGUAA
rnacentral:rRNA from 1 species